UUACACAGCCAUAUCACCCUGCAGCCCAAGACUGGUUGCCCACUGAAGCUAAGCAGGGUUGAGCCUGGUCAGUACCUGGAUGGGAGACCUCCUGGGAAAACUAGGUUGCUGUUGGAA
rnacentral:rRNA from 1 species